GCCCUUGUAGCGCAAUGAAAGCGCAUUGAACUUCUAAUGCAAAAGUCGUGGUUUCGAACUCCACGUGGGAUU